GGAACAGUAAAAGCAGGGAAGGGUCUGUCAAUCUUGACACGGUAGGGGUCAGGGGUUCAAAUCCCCUCGGUUCUACCA
rnacentral:tRNA from 1 species